GUGCUCACCUCGGCAGCACAUCUACUAAAAUUGGAACGGUACAGAGAAGAUGAGCACGGCCCCUGCAUGAGAGUGACAAGCAAAUUCGUGAAGCGUUACGUCUUUAA